GUUGGAAGUGCCGAUCAUGGUGAAGGCCGCUGGGGAACAAAGUGGGCAAAGAGCCCGAGGGUUGUGUGGUGGACAAAGGACAGAGGAGAGGCGGUGUUGCAGUUGACUAACUUCACUCACACAACUAGCUGAGCCUGGAAAGAGGUCACUGACGAGCAGAUGGGAAAGGGAGGACUGAUGAAAUGCAGAGGAAAACCUUCACCCUGAGUAUCACAGCAAGGCAAAUGGACAGACGUGAUUCAUAAGGAUGCAUUAACACAUGGAGAAACAAUGGAAAACCCACAGUUUGGAGAAAGUCUCCAGGCACGGAGAGAUGAUUACUAUCUCGUAAAAGGAGGAUUUUUUUUUUUUUAAAGGUCAUCAAUGGAAUAAAAUGAUCAAACAUUAUCAGGUGUUUUGGAAAGUGUGCGGCGUACGACACACACAUCCUCUUUAGGACACAUUAUUUGUUCUGGCUACAUCAGAUAAAUGAAACAUCAUGUGGCUUUGCCCUUGCUUGACAACAUUUCACGUGACAUCGAUUGAAAUUUGGGCUCUUGAAAAAGGACAGUGGAUGAAGAUUAGACAGAGAGACAAUCAGGCAGACAGGCAGGGUUCAAAACAGGCAGCAAGAUGGAUCUUGUUUUGCUUUGCAUGAUCCUUGGCUGUGAUUAGAUGCUGAUGCUUCCAUGCACAGAUGUCUUUGUGGCUCCAAUAUUAUGACUUUUAAGGCGGGAGUAGAGGGAGGAAGGCUGGCUGGUGGAAUUGAACAAAACGUACAAUCUAAAUCCCUUUUUCAUAUUGUUUGUCAACUAGAAAAAAUUACGAAAAAUGACCUGAACUGAAAUGACAGCAAACAUUUUUUUUGAUUGCUAGACACAACCCCCAAAAGAGUUUCUUUAUUUUUCUAUUUUUCUGAUGAUGUUUAAUUAUUCUACUCUUUAUUCUAUCAAAUA